GCGACGAUGGCCGAGUGGUUAAGGCGGGAGUUUCCCGUUCUCCUUCUGGGUAACAGAGCGUGGGUUCGAGUCCCGCUCGUCGCA
rnacentral:tRNA from 1 species